AGUGAACGCUGGCGGUAGGCCUAACACAUGCAGGUCGAACGGCAGCACAGUAAGAGCUUGCUCUUACGGGUGGCGAGUGGCGGACGGGUGAGGAAUACAUCGGAAUCUACCUUUUCGUGGGGGAUAACGUAGGGAAACUUACGCUAAUACCGCAUACGACCUACGGGUGAAAGCAGGGGAUCUUCGGACCUUGCGCGAUUGAAUGAGCCGAUGUCGGAUUAGCUAGUUGGCGGGGUAAAGGCCCACCAAGGCGACGAUCCGUAGCUGGUCUGAGAGGAUGAUCAGCCACACUGGAACUGAGACACGGUCCAGACUCCUACGGGAGGCAGCAGUGGGGAAUAUUGGACAAUGGGCGCAAGCCUGAUCCAGCCAUACCGCGUGGGUGAAGAAGGCCUUCGGGUUGUAAAGCCCUUUUGUUGGGAAAGAAAAGCAGCAGGUUAAUACCCCGCUGUUCUGACGGUACCCAAAGAAUAAGCACCGGCUAACUUCGUG
rnacentral:rRNA from 1 species